UAAGCCAGAAGAGGCGCGUCGCCCAGGUAUCGUGUUUGAGGAGCCAAUCCGCAGACGACACAGGAGGGGGAGCGACGCCGAGGUAGUGCAUGUAUGGCAGCAUGUAUUAUCGGCCACGGGGGCUGAAUCCCUUGGGCUGUCACCAGGAGCACUCAGUGCUCCAAAUUAUUCCCCGAAUUUAUUGGCGUUGCAGCAAGGCGACAAGCUAAUGAAUCCCGAUGAGCUUACUUGAGUAAGUGAUUCGGGUGAGUUAGCGCAGACAACGCCGCUGCGGCGUCAAGAAAUCGGGGAAACAAGGUGGGGCGCUUCUGGGUGU
rnacentral:ncRNA from 2 species